rnacentral:rRNA from 1 species
UACGUAGGGGGCGAGCGUUGUCCGGAUUUACUGGGCGUAAAGCGCGUGUAGGCGGCGGCUUAAGUCGGGUGUGAAAGCCCGGGGCUCAACCCCGGGAUGCCGCCCGAGACUGGGUCGCUUGAGGACGGAAGAGGGGAGUGGAAUUCCAGGUGUAGCGGUGAAAUGCGUAGAUAUCUGGAGGAACACCGGUGGCGAAGGCGGCAUCCUGGACCGGCAUUGACGCUGAGGCGCGAAAGCCAGGGGAGCAAACGGG